rnacentral:rRNA from 1 species
GACGAACGCUGGCGGCGUGCUUAACACAUGCAAGUCGAACGGAAAGGCCCCUUUGGGGGUACUCGAGUGGCGCACGGGUGAGUAACACGUGAGUAACCUGCCCUUGACUUCGGGAUAACUUCAGGAAACUGGGGCUAAUACCGGAUAGGAAUCCUUGCUGCAUGGUGGGGGUUGGAAAGCUUCGGCGGUUUUAGAUGGACUCGCGGCUUAUCAGCUUGUUGGUGGGGUAGUGGCUUACCAAGGCUUUGACGGGUAGCCGGCCUGAGAGGGCGACCGGCCACAUUGGGACUGAGAUACGGCCCAGACUCCUACGGGAGGCAGCAGUGGGGAAUAUUGCACAAUGGGCGGAAGCCUGAUGCAGCAACGCCGCGUGCGGGAUGACGGCCUUCGGGUUGUAAACCGCUUUCAGCAGGGGCGAAGCUUGUGGUGACGGUACCUGCAGAAGAAGCACCGGCUAACUACGUG